UGGGGAAUAUUGCACAAUGGGCGCAAGCCUGAUGCAGCCAUGCCGCGUGUAUGAAGAAGGCCUUCGGGUUGUAAAGUACUUUCAGCGAGGAGGAAGGCGUUGUGGUUAAUAACCGCAGCGAUUGACGUUACUCGCAGAAGAAGCACCGGCUAACUCCGUGCCAGCAGCCGCGGUAAUACGGAGGGUGCAAGCGUUAAUCGGAAUUACUGGGCGUAAAGCGCACGCAGGCGGUCUGUCAAGUCGGAUGUGAAAUCCCCGGGCUUAACCUGGGAACUGCAUCCGAAACUGGCAGGCUAGAGUCUUGUAGAGGGGGGUAGAAUUCCAGGUGUAGCGGUGAAAUGCGUAGAGAUCUGGAGGAAUACCGGUGGCGAAGGCGGCCCCCUGGACAAAGACUGACGCUCAGGUGCGAAAGCGUGGGGAGCAAACA
rnacentral:rRNA from 1 species